rnacentral:lncRNA from 1 species
AAUAACUCACAUAGUUUUCAAACUGGAAGGAAGUAAUUUAAUUCUCCAAUCCUCUGAUUUUUACAGAUGAGGACACUUAGGAUCAGAAAAGCAAAGUGACUUGCUCAAGGUGAUGUAAGUAAAACCCUGAGAAGCUGGUGCAAUUGUCUUCAUUCUACAGCAGAGAAAACUGAGAUCCUUCUAAGGUACCUCUAGGUAAAGUGACUGACUGCUUUGGGAUCAUAUAUUUAGUA